UACAGAGGUGGCAAGCGUUGUUCGGAAUUACUGGGCGUAAAGGGCGCGUAGGCGGCCUUCUCAGUCAGACGUGAAAUCCCCCGGCUUAACCUGGGAACUGCGUCUGAUACUGGAAGGCUCGAGUAUGGGAGAGGGAUGUAGAAUUCCAGGUGUAGCGGUGAAAUGCGUAGAUAUAUGGAGGAAUACCGGUGGCGAAGGCGGCAUCCGGGACCAUUACUGACGCUGAGGCGCGAAAGCUAGGGGAGCAAACGGG
rnacentral:rRNA from 1 species